UACGUAGGGUGCAAGCGUUGUCCGGAAUUUAUUGGGCGUAAAGAGCUCGUAGGCGGUUCGUCGCGUCGGCUGUGAAAUCCCGAGGCUCAACCUCGGGUCUGCAGUCGAUACGGGCGGACUGGAGUUCGGCAGGGGAGACUGGAAUUCCUGGUGUAGCGGUGAAAUGCGCAGAUAUCAGGAGGAACACCGGUGGCGAAGGCGGAUCUCUGGGCCUUGCCUGACGCUGAGGCGCGAAAGCUAGGGGAGCGAACAGG
rnacentral:rRNA from 1 species